CUUUGCUUUUUAACACUUAGUGGCGGACGGGUGAGUAAUGUAUGAGCAACCUGCCUUUCAGAGGGGGACAACAGUUGGAAACGACUGCUAAUACCGCAUAAAGUAUUUAGGAGGCAUCCCCUGAGUACCAAAGGAGCAAUCCGCUGAAAGAUGGGCUCAUAUCUGAUUAGCUAGUUGGUGAGGUAACGGCUCACCAAGGCUGCGAUCAGUAGCCGGACUGAGAGGUUGAACGGCCACAUUGGGACUGAGAUACGGCCCAGACUCC
rnacentral:rRNA from 1 species